rnacentral:rRNA from 1 species
AGUGGAUGGGGAACAACCUAGUUGUGCGUGUGUAAAGGUAGUGCCAAGAAAAGCGGUGAUCAUGAUGAAAAUCAAUUCCCGGUACCCGAAACCGACACAGGUGGGCAAGUAGAGAAUACUAAGGGGCGCGAGGUAACUCUCUCCAAGGAACUCGGCAAAAUGACCCCGUAACUUAGGGAGAAGGGGUGCCACCGAGAGGUGGUCGCAGUGAAGAGGCCCAGGCGACUGUUUAGCAAAAACAUAGGUCUCUGCAAACUCGAAAGAGGAGGUAUAGGGGCUGACGCCUGCCCAGUGCCGGAAGGUUAAAGAAGUUGGUCAGUCUUAGGAUGAAGCUAGCGACUGAAGCCCCGGUGAACGGCGGCCGUAACUAUAACGGUCCUAAGGUAGCGAAAUUCCUUGUCGGGUAAGUUCCGACCCGCACGAAAGGCGUAACGAUCUGGGCGCUGUCUCGGAGAGAUACUCAGUGAAAUUGAAAUCGCUGUUAAGAUGCAGCGUACCCGCGGCUAGACGGAAAGACCCUAUGAAGCUUUACUAUAGCUUGGAAUUGUGUCCGGGCUUCCUGUGCGCAGGAUAGGUGGGAGGCGUAGAAGGUAUUCUUGUGGGGAUACUGGAGCCAACGGUGAGAUACCACUCUCAGGAGGCUAGAAUUCUAACUUAAUUAAGGACAGUUUCAGGUGGGUAGUUUGACUGGGGCGGUCGCCUCCAAAAAGGUAACGGAGGCGUACAAAGGUUCCCUCAGACUGGUUGGAAAUCAGUCGCAGAGUGCAAAGGCAGAAGGGAGCUUGACUGCGAGAAGUACAGUUCGAGCAGGGUGGAAACACGGUCUUAGUGAUCCGACGGUGCUGUGUGGAAGGGCCGUCGCUCAACGGAUAAAAGUUACUCUAGGAUAACAGGCUGAUCUCCCCCAAGAGUUCACAUCGACGGGGAGGUUUGGCACCUCGAUGUCGGCUCAUCGCAACCUGGGGCGGAAGUACGUCCCAAGGGUUGGGCUGUUCGCCCAUUAAAGCGGUACGUGAGCUGGGUUCAGAACGUCGUGAGACAGUUCGGUCCAUAUCCGAUGUAGGCGUGAGAAUAUUGAGAGGAGCCUUCCUUAGUACGAGAGGACCGGGAAGGACGCACCGCUGGUGUACCUGUUAUGAUGCCAAUUGUAAACGCAGGGUAGCCAAGUGCGGAGAGGAUAACCGCUGAAAGCAUCUAAGUGGGAAGCCCACCUCAAGAUGAGUAUUCUGGUGUAAGGUCACGGGAAGACGACCCGUAAAUAGGCACGAGGUGGAAGUGCAGAGAUGUAUGAAGCCGAAGUGUACUAAUAGACCGUCGGCUUGACCU